AAAGCUUGCUUUUGGAGAUGACGAGCGGCGGACGGGUGAGUAAUGCCUGGGAACAUGCCUUGGUGUGGGGGAUAACCAUUGGAAACGAUGGCUAAUACCGCAUAACGUCUACGGACCAAAGAGGGGGACCUUCGGGCCUCUCGCGCCAAGAUUGGCCCAGGUGGGAUUAGCUAGUAGGUGGGGUAACGGCUCACCUAGGCGACGAUCCCUAGCUGGUCUGAGAGGAUGAUCAGCCACACUGGAACUGAGACACGGUCCAGACUCCUACGGGAGGCAGCAGUGGGGAAUAUUGCACAAUGGGGGAAACCCUGAUGCAGCCAUGCCGCGUGUGUGAAGAAGGCCUUCGGGUUGUAAAGCACUUUCAGUAGGGAGGAAGGCAGUGUCGUUAAUAGCGGCAUUGUUUGACGUUACCUACAGAAGAAGCACCGGCUAACUCCGUGCCAGCACCGCCGGUAAUGA
rnacentral:rRNA from 1 species